AAAAAAUUAUUCUUAAAAUUUCGAAGAGAAUGCAUUUUCUAAUUUUCUAUUUUGAGAAACAUUUUUUCAAAAUAAUAAAGAGAACGCAUUUUCAAUUUUUUAAAACAAACUCCCAAAACAAAAAAUUGAAAAUGAAUUCAAAGAUCAAGAUUAAAAAUUAAAACGCAAAUAGAACGCAACCUUAUUUUUCACUACAUCAAAUCAUUGCUAAUCAUAUUAAUUUUCAUUGUAAAUUGAUUUUCUUUACAAAAAUUUUUGUAAUCAAUAAUUAUAUUUUUAAUGUGAAUACUUAUAAUGAUAGCAACAUUAAAUUUAAUUUCUGGCUAUAUCUUCUUCUGUUAUUUAUGCAUUACAAGAACCUAAAAAACAUAAAUAAAUGAAAGAUUAGAAAAAUUAAUAUAACUUAUUUUAAUGUGAAAUAUUUAUAAUAAUUUGAAUAAAUAAAACUAACCAUACUCCUAAGAAAUAGUUAUACCACUUUCCCGUCAUUAUUGAUUAAAAAUUUAAAUUCUAACCGUUAAAUAAUAGAAAAAAAUAUUUACAUUUAACUAACAUUUAUAUAAGCACUUUCUAAGUUGAUUAUAUUUUUUUUAUAAAUGCAUGAAUAUAAUUAUUACACUAAUAUAUAUAAUUUAGAUUAUUAUCAUAUAUUAUUUUAAUAAAUAUUAAUUUGAUUAUUAUCCUAUAUUAUUUUAAAUUUAUAUAAUUAUAUUCACUCCAAAAACCAUUUCAUUAUACACACAUAUGCUGGCAUAUAUAAUCCUAAUUAAAGCCCAAUGACUCUUUUUAUACCAACGUGGAGUUGCCGCCACUGCUACCAUACACAUUCAUGUGAAGAAGUGUUAUCUUUAUAUAUAAAUUUUAAUAAUUUUUUGAAUUAAUCAAAUUUAUAAUAAUUUUAUUUAAAAUUAAUAAUAAUUUAUAAUUGUGAAUAGAUCUAUUUUUAAUUUCUAAUAUCACUAUUAUAAAGUAUUAUUAAUUUUGUGUGUAUCACGUCUAUUUGUAAAUGUUAUUUAUGAUUAUAACAUUUUUCAUACAUAUAUAUAUAUAUAUAUGAUAUAUAAUAUAUGUGAUUGCUUUUAAUCAAAAAGCUCAAGCCUGAAGGUAGAGGUCAAAUCAUGUGUUUAUUUGUAUUGAUGAUGCCAAAAAUUGCAUUAUAUAGAGAUUUUUAGAAUGGACAAAUCUCCUCGAUAGUUCUACAAAAUAAGGGUUAGAGAUAUCUGGGGUUGUCUCCAAAAAGGCCAUGGGGUGUUUGGAGUAUGAAAAAGGUAAAUCAUAUAGGCUUUUAAAUAUUUUUAAAUUAAAAUAAGUCUUUUUAAUAAAAAAUAAAGUUUAUUAUUAUUUUUUUAAUUUUUAAAUAUUUUUAAUUGAUUAAAUAAUUAAAAAACAUGAGUAUAGCUAAUAGAAUAAUUCAGAAAUUAAAAGUAAGGAGUUUUUGUAUUUUAAAAUAUACAAAUUUGAUGGUUUUUAUAAUUCAGCAUAUGGUUUUUGUAGGAUUAAAUUUAUUUUAAAUACUAAUAUAUAUAAUUUAGAUUAUUAUCAUAUAUUAUUUAACUAAUAUUUAAUAAAUAUUAAUUUGAUACAAUAAUUUAAAUUAUUUUAUUAUUAUAAUUUAGAUUAUUAUCAUAUAUUAUUACUUAAAUUAUUUAAUAAUUAUUAUAAUUUAAAUUAUUUUAUCAGUUAUCAUCAUCAUAAUUAUUUUUUUUAUCAAUCAAACUAUUAUUAAUAUUAAUUUUAUAAAUUAUUUUAUUUUUAUUUAAUAAUUAAAUAUAUUAACUAAAAAAAAAUUAUAACUAUUUAUUAGGCGGGAGAUGCUCCCGCCAUCCCCCCAAAACACCCCCCCCCCAAACCCUCCAAUCUACCUGCAACCCCCAGCCCUCAAAUCCCAAACCCACCCGCCAAACCCUCCAAUCAACCUGCAACCCCCAGCUCUCAAAUCCCCAACCUUUCAUCGCGUCUUCCUUCCGUCGCUUCAACGAUUUUGCUUCUGUCACUUCAACAGCUUCUCUUCAUCGUUGCCGCUUCCGUCGCUUCAACAAUUUCUCUUCAACGUUGCUGCUUCGGCCUCCAUAUUAUAAGUAUUUUUUUGGUUUACAGGUUGGUCAUUCUCUUUUUCAUCUUGUGUGUGCAUUUGUGAUACCAGCAUUGUUCGAGGUUCUCAGGACUCAAUGCUUGGGAAAUAGGAGAGCUCGUAUCCUACACAGAGAAGUAGCUCUUCGUUCUUACUUUCUCAGUGACCCAGCUCAGCUUCCCUAAUGCAUUAGGCGUGGUUAUUUUCUUCUACUAGGGAAAGGGUUGUGCUCGGUAGAGGAAGAACGUGUUGAUUCACGCCAUCCACCAGGUGAAGUACGAGAUUUCACGCUCUUAUGAGAAAGUUGAUGAGACGCUAAAGCUUAUUCUUAAACAGGUUGUGAGUUCCAUUGUGCAUUACUCUCCCUUUCUUCCCCCUUUUUAGAGCAAUAUAUUUUUGGGCCGGAUAGACUAUUUUAUCGGGAGCUUAGGGUCAUUUUUGAAUUUUAUCCAGUUUUGACAUUUAGUUCAAUUUGGUCAUCAAAUUUAAACUUUGAUUUGAAUUUUAUCCCUAAGCGGAUAGGCGAGAGCCCCAACAUACGUGGUGCUUAGGUGGCGUGCUGAUGUGUCCUUUGUAGGACACAUUAGCAAAAGAAAUCCAUCAUCUUCAACCCUCAGGCCACUAGGUUUUACAUCCUAAACAGUUGCCGCCGCCUUCCUUCAUCGUCGGUCCCCUUUUUGUUCUCUCAUCGCCGGUAACCCAAGGCCUCAACCCUGUGGUCACGCCACGCGCAUGUCGAGCACGAAGCUGUUCGGCCAUGGAGUGACCAGAGGUCCUCGGCCAUGGCGUCGAUAGCCAUUGCAAUGCCGAGAUUCGACCCGUGGCUGAGAAGACUCGCGUAAAUCGGUCGACCAAAAUGAUAAUCCACGUCGGAGAGCCAUCGACCAAAAGAGGAGACGAACCGUCAGUUAGGGCAGACACGGUGAACCUCGAUUUUGGAGAACAUCGUCGACGAUGGCGGAAGCAAGGCCCACUCGAUUGACGGUAAUAUACCCAUGGCCCUUGUCUUCUUCUCAACAUCGAUCUCGCUAUGGUCAUUUUUUCCCCUUGACCUGCGAUGUUCUACCCUCUCUCUUCUUUUCCCAAUCGGCUGCCUAUGUGGCCGCCAUUAGUGGAAGCAAGCCACCCACGAGGAAGAGCAAGAAAGAAGGAGGCGGCGAGGGGCAAGGAAAAGGUAAAAACGGCAACGACGGGGGCGGUGGCAGCGCAAGGUGGUAGGCGAAACACUUGGUGAUUUGGGGAAGAAGAUGGGUUUUGACCCAUUACAUGUUGGGUUGACCCACUGGGUCGGAUUUUGAUCAAAGUCAACCAUGGGAUUGUUUGCCUAUUGUGUCCAUUAUUUGACACAACAACACGCUGCGUCUGGAGGGCCACAUGCCAGUCCGCUUUAGGAGAAAAUUAAAACAAAAGUUAAAGUUUGAUGAUAAGAUUGAAACAAAUGUCAAAAUUGGAUAAUAGUGAAAAAAGACCCUAGUUCAGUAUAAAAUAGUUUAUUUGACCAUAUUUUUAUGAUGUUUUCGACUGCAGGAAGUAGUUGGAUUGUUCUUUGGAGGUCUCCAUGCAGGUUCUCAGGACUCAAUGCUUGGGAAAUCGGAGAGCUCGUAUCCUACGCAGAGAAGUAGCUCUUCGUUGUUACUUUCUCAGUGACCCAGCUCAGCUUCCCUAACGCUUCAGACGUGGUUAUUUUCUUCUACGAGGGAAAGGGUUGUGCCCGAUAGAGGAGAAACGUGUUGAUUCACGCCAUCCAUCGGGUUAGAUCAAGUCUUUCUUGCACGUUUUACAAUCUAUCCACGCACAGUAUGCUAUCUGAAAAUAUGAAAAAGUGAAUACAUAAGCGGAUUAGGAAAUAUGAUUGCUGCAAACCAGUGAUGGAACUCGAUUGUGCAAGUAGAUGAUGCUCAACUGCUAAGGUGAAGUACGAGAUUUCACGCUCUUAUGAGAAAGUUGAUGAGACGCUAAAGCUUAUUCUUAAAGAGGAAGUAGUUGGAUUUCUCUUUGGAGAUCUACAUGCAGGUUCUCAGGACUGAAUGCUUGGGAAAUCGGAGAGCUCGUAUCCUACACAGAGAAGUAGCUCUUCGUUGUUACUUUCUCAGUGACCCAGCUCAGCUUCACUAACGCUUCAGGCGUGGUUAUUUUCUUCUACUAGGGAAAGGGUUGUGCUCGGUAGAGGAAGAACGUGUUGAUUCACGCCAUCCACCAGGUGAAGUACGAGAUUUCACGCUCUUAUGAGAAAGUUGAUGAGACGUUAAAGCUUAUUCUUAAACAGGUUCUAAGGACUGAAUGCUUGGGAAAUCGGAGAGCUCGUAUCCUACACAGAGAAGUAGCUCUUCGUUGUUACUUUCUCAGUGACCCAGCUCAGCUUCACUAACGCUUCAGGCGUGGUUAUUUUCUUCUACUAGGGAAAGGGUUGUGCUCGGUAGAGGAAGAACGUGUUGAUUCACGCCAUCCACCAGGUGAAGUACGAGAUUUCACGCUCUUAUGAGAAAGUUGAUGAGCCGUUAAAGCUUAUUCUUAAACAGGUUGUGAGUUCCAUUAUGCAUUACUCUCCCUCUCUUCCCCCUUUUUAGAGCAAUAUGUUUUCUGGCCGAAUAGACUAUUUUAUUGGGAGCUUAGGGUCAUUUUUGAAUUUUAUCCAGUUUUGACAUUUAGUUCAAUUUGGUCAUCAAAUUUAAACUUUGAUUUCAAUUUUAUCCCUAAGCGGACAUGCGAGAGCCCCAACAUACGUGGUGGUUAGGUGGCGUGCUGAUGUGUCAUUUGUCGGCCACAUCAGCAAAAGAAAUCCAUCAUCUUCAACCCUCAGGCCAUUAGGUUUUACGUCCUAAACAGUUUCCGCCGCCUUCCUUCAUCGUCGGUCGCCUUUUUGUUCUCUCAUCGCCGGUAACCCGAGGCCUCAACCCUGUGGUCACGCCACGCGAGCCAUGUCGAGCACGAAGCUGUUCGGCCAUGGGAGUGACCAGAGGUCCUCGGCCAUGGCGUCGAUGGCCAUUGCAAUGCCGAGAUUCGACUCGUGGCUGAGAAGACUCGCGUCAAUCGGUCGACCAAAAUGAUAACCCACGUCGGCGAGCCAUCGACUAAAAGGGGAGACGAACCGUCAGUCAGGGCAGUCACGGUGAACCUCGAUUUUGGAAAACAUCAUCGACGAUGGCGGAAGCAAGGCCCACUCGAUCGACGGCAAUAGACACAUGGCCCUUGUCCUCUUCUCAACAUUGAUCUCGCCAUGGUCAUUUUUUCUCCUUGACCUCCGAUCUUCUCCCCUCUCUCUUCUUUUCCCAAUCGGCUGCCUUUGUGGCCGCCAUUAAUGGAAGCAUGCCACCCGCGAUGAAUAGUGAGAAAGGAGGAGGCGGCUAGGGGCAGGGAUAAGGCAAAAACGGCAACGACGGGGGCGACUUCAGCGCAAGGUGGAAGGCGAAACACUUGGUGAUUUGGGGUAGAGGAUGGGUUUUGACCCAUUACAUGUUCGGUCGACCCCGCUGGGUCGGAUUUGGAUCAAAGUCAACCAUGGGAUUGUUUGCCUAUUGUGUCCAUUAUUUGACACAACAACACGCCACGUCUGAAGGGCCACACGCCAGUCCGCUUUAGGAGAAAAUUAAAACAAAAGUUAAAGUUCGAUGGUAAAAUUGAAACAAAUGUCAAAACUGGAUAAUAGUGAAAAAAGACCCUAAAUUCAGUAUAAAAUAAUUUAUUUGACCAUAUUUUAUGAUGUUUUCGACUGCAAGAAGUAGUUGGAUUUCUCUUUGGAGAUCUGCAUGCAGGUUCAAGGCUUUUAGUUAUCACUGUAGUGAUAUUUUACCUUUUACACCCUUUUUAUUCCUUUCAUUUUUUUUUUUUUUUAUGUCUUGCUAUUUCAAUUAUGAUGUUAAAAUAGUCGUUCCUUUUUAAACUAAUUGGGUCGUGAUAGCUUUUUACCUCAAUGGGCAGGUUCUAAGGACUGAAUGCUUGGGAAAUCGGAGAGCUCGUAUCCUACACAGAGAAGUAGCUCUUCGUUGUUACUUUCUCAGUGACCCAGCUCAGCUUCACUAACGCUUCAGGCGUGGUUAUUUUCUUCUACUAGGGAAAGGGUUGUGCUCGGUAGAGGAAGAACGUGUUGAUUCACGCCAUCCACCAGGUGAAGUACGAGAUUUCACGCUCUUAUGAGAAAGUUGAUGAGCCGUUAAAGCUUAUUCUUAAACAGGUUGUGAGUUCCAUUAUGCAUUACUCUCCCUCUCUUCCCCCUUUUUAGAGCAAUAUGUUUUCUGGCCGAAUAGACUAUUUUAUUGGGAGCUUAGGGUCAUUUUUGAAUUUUAUCCAGUUUUGACAUUUAGUUCAAUUUGGUCAUCAAAUUUAAACUUUGAUUUCAAUUUUAUCCCUAAGCGGACAUGCGAGAGCCCCAACAUACGUGGUGGUUAGGUGGCGUGCUGAUGUGUCAUUUGCCGGCCACAUCAGCAAAAGAAAUCCAUCAUCUUCAACCCUCAGGCCAUUAGGUUUUACAUUUUAAACAGUUUCCGCCACCUUCCUUCAUCGUCGGUCGCCUUUUUGUUCUCUCAUCGCCGGUAACCCGAGGCCUCAACCAUGUGGUCACGCCACGCGAGCCAUGUCGAGCAUGAAGCUGUUCGGCCAUGGGAGUGACUAGAGGUCCUUGGCCAUGGCGUCGAUGGCCAUUGCAGUGCUGAGAUUCGACCCGUGGCUUCGAAGACUCGCGUCAAUCGGUCGACCAAAAUGAUAACCCACGUCGGCGAGCCAUCGACCAAAAGGGGAGACAAACCGUCCGUCAGGGCAGUCACGGUGAACCUAGAUUUUGGAAAACAUCGUCGACGAUGGCGGAAGCAAGGCCCACUCGAUCGACGGCAAUAGACACAUGGCCCUUGUCUUCUGCUCAACAUCGAUCUCGCCAUGGUCAUUUUUUCUCCUUGACCUCAGAUCUUCUCCCCUCUCUCUUCUUUUCCCAAUCGGCUGCCUUUGUGGCCGCCAUUAAUGGAAGCAUGCCACCCGCGAUGAAGAGUGAGAAAGGAGGAGGCGGCUAGGGGCAGGGAAAAGGCAAAAACGGUAACGACGGGGGCGACUGCAGCGCAAGGUGGAAGGCGAAACACUUGGUGAUUUGGGGUAGAGGAUGGGUUUUGACCCAUUACAUGUUCGGUCGACCCCGCUGGGUCGGAUUUGGAUCAAAGUCAACCAUGGGAUUGUUUGCCUAUUGUGUCCAUUAUUUGACACAACAACACGCCGCGUCUACAAGGCCACACGCCAGUCCGCUUUAGGAGAAAAUUAAAACAAAAGUUAAAGUUCGAUGGUAAAAUUGGAACAAAUGUCAAAACUGGAUAAUAGUGAAAAAAGACCCUAAGUUCAGUAUAAAAUAAUUUAUUUGACCAUAAUUUUUAUGAUGUUUUCGACUGCAGGAAGUAGUUGGAUUUCACUUUGGAGAUCUACAUGCAGGUUCUCAGGAUUGAAUGCUUGGGAAAUCGGAGAGCUUGUAUCCUACACAGACAAGUAGCUCUUCGUUGUUACUUUCUCAGUGACCCAGCUCAGCUUCACUAACGCUUCAGGCGUGGUUAUUUUCUUCUACUAGGGAAAGGGUUGUGCUCGGUAGAGGAAGAACGUGUUGAUUCAUGCCAUCCACCAGGUGAAGUACGAGAUUUCACGCUCUUAUGAGAAAGUUGAUAAGACGCUAAAGCUUAUUCUUAAACAGGUUGUGAGUUCCAUUAUGCAUUGCUCUCCCUCUCUUCCCCAUUUUUAGAGCAAUAUGUUUUUUGGCCGAAUAGACUAUUUUAUCAGGAGCUUAGGGUCUUUUUUGAAUUUUAUCCAGUUUUGACAUUUAGUUCAAUUUGGUCAUCAAAUUUAAACUUUGAUUUCAAUUUUAUCCCUAAGCGGACAUGCGAGAGCCCCAACAUACGUGGUGCUUAGGUGGCGUGCUGAUGUGUCAUUUGUCGGCCACAUCAGCAAAAGAAAUCCAUCAUCUUCAACCCUCAGGCCAUUAGGUUUUACAUCCUAAACAGUUUUCGCCGCCUUCCUUCAUCGUCGGUCGUCUUUUUGUUCUCUCAUCGCCAAUAACCCGAGGCCUCAACGCUGUGGUCACGCUAUGCGAGCCAUGUCGAGCACGAAGGUGUUCGGCCAUAGGAGUGACCAGAGGUCCUCGGCCAUGGCGUCGAUGGCCAUUGCAAUGCCGAGAUUCCACCUGUGGCUGAGAAGACUUGCGUCAAUCGGUCGACCAAAAUGAUAACCCACGUCGGCGAGCCAUCGACCAAAAGGGGAGACGAACCAUCAGUCAGGGCAGUAACGGUGAACCUCGAUUUUGGAGAACAUCGUCGACGAUGGCGGAAGCAAGGCCCACUCGAUUGACGGCAAUAGACCCAUGGCCCUUGUCUUCUUCUCAACAUCGAUCUCGCCAUGGUCAUUUUUUCCCCUUGACCUCCGAUCUUCUCCCCUCUCUCUUCUUUUCCCAAUCGGCUGCCUUUGUGGCCGCCAUUAAUGGAAGCAUGCCACCCGCGAUAAAGAGUGAGAAAGGAGGCGGCGGCUACAGACAGGGAAAAGGCAAAAACGGCAACGACGGGGGCGGCGUCAGCGCAAGGUGGAAGGCGAAACACUUGGUGAUUUGGGGUAGAGGAUGGGUUUUGACCCAUUACAUGUUCGGUCGACUCCGCUGGGUCGGAUUUGGAUCAAAGUCAACCAUGGGAUUGUUUGCCUAUUGUGUCCAUUAUUUGAGACAAUAACACGCUGCGUCUGCAGGGCUACACGCCAGUCCGCUUCAGUAUAAAAUUAAAACAAAAGUUAAAGUUCGAUGGUAAAAUUGAAACAAAUGUCAAAACUGGAUAAUAGUGAAAAAAGAUCCUAAGUUCAGUAUAAAAUAAUUUAUUUGACCAUAUUUUUAUGAUGUUUUCGACUACAGGAAGUAGUUGGAUUUCUCUUUGGAGAUCUACAUGCAGGUUCAACGCUUUUAGUUAUCACUGUAGUUAUAUUUUACCUUUUACCCCCUUUUUAUUCCUUUCAUUUUUUUUUUUUUUAUGUCUUGCUAUUUCAAUUAUGAUGUUAAAAUAGUCGUUCCUUUUUAAACUAAUUGGGUCGUGAUAGCUUUUUACCUCAAUGGGGAGGUUCUCAGGACUGAAUGCUUGGGAAAUCGGAGAGCUCGUAUCCUACACAGAGAAGUAGGUCUUCGUUGUUACUUUCUCAGUGACCCAGCUCAGCUUCACUAACGCUUCUGGCGUGGUUAUUUUCUUCUACUAGGGAUAAGGUUGUGCUCGGUAAAGAAAGAACGUGUUGAUUCACGCCAUCCACCAGGUGAAGUACGAGAUUUCACGCUCUUAUGAGAAAGUUGAUAAGACGCUAAAGCUUAUUCUUAAACAGGUUGUGAGUUCCAUUAUGCAUUACUCUCCCUUUCUUCCCCCUUUUUAGAGCAAUAUGUUUUCUGGCCGAAUAGAUUAUUUUAUCCGGAGCUUAGGGUCAUUUUUGAAUUUUAUCCAGUUUUGACAUUUAGUUCAAUUUGGUCAUCAAAUUUAAACUUUGAUUUCAAUUUUAUCCCUAAGCGGACAGACGAGAGCCCUAACAUAUGUGGUGCUUAGGUGGCGUGCUGAUGUGUUAUUUGUUGGACACAUCAGCAAAAGAAAGCCAUGGCCCUUGUCUUCUUUUCAACAUCUAUCUCGCCAUGGUCAUUUUUUUGCCUUGACCUGCGAUCUUCUCCCCUCUCUCUUCUUUUCCUAAUCGGCUGCCUAUGUGGCCGCCAUUAAUGGAAGUAAGCCACCGGCGAUGAAGAGUGAGAAAGAAGGAGGUGGCUAGGGGCAGGGAAAAGGCCAAAACGGCUACGACGGGAGCUGCGACAGCGCAAGGUGGAAGGCAAAACACUUGGUGAUUUGGGAAAGAAGAUGGGUUUUGACCCAUUACAUGUUCGGUCGACCCACUGGGUCAGAUUUGGAUCAAAGUCGACCAUGGAAUUGUUUGCCUAUUGUGUCCAUUAUUUGACACAACAACACACCGCGUCUGCAGGGCCACAGGCCAGUCCGCUUUAAGAGAAAAUUAAAACAAAUGUCAAAACUGGAUAAUAGUGAAAAAAGACCUUAAGUUCAGUAUAAAAUUGUUUAUUUGACCAUAUUUUUAUGAUGUUUUCGACUGCAGGAAGUAGUUGGAUUGUUCUUUGGAGGUCUACAUGCAGGUUCUCAGGACUGAAUGCUUGAGAAAUAGGAGAGCUCGUAUCCUACACAGAGAAGUAGCUCUUCGUUGUUACUUCCUCAGUGACCCAGCUCAGCUUCACUUACACUUCAGGCGUGGUUAUUUUCUUCUACUAGGGAAAGGGUUGUGCUCGGUUGAGGAAGAACGUGUUUAUCCACGCCAUCCACCAGGUGAAGUACGAGAUUUCACGCUCUUAUGAGAAAGUUGAUGAGACGCUAAAGCUUAUUCUUAAAGAGUGCUGGCUUUGGUGGUUGUCCCUCCCAGCCAUUUCCAUCACUGUUCGCUGUUUGGGAGCAUUCUUUGUGAAAUUUCUCACAAGAGACAGGCUACAGCAUCUCUAGCUUCCUCUAUUGCGUAGGUUUGGUGGUAUUAUUGCAUUUUAGUUUCCUAAAUGCUGAAUUUCUCCAUAAAAUAACUGUAUGUUGUUAAGUGUUUCCAUUAUCGGGCAUGAAACCAAGUUGAUUAUCUCAUUCAAUAAUGUUAUGUUGACUAGUCUGGCAGUUACCCGUUGCAAAACCAUAUUAUAUCUAACAAUUAAACAACUUUAUGUUAUUCCAUCUUUCAAUUAGAAGCAUGAACCAAAAAGGGUUCACAGAGUACAAGUUAUUAGGUAUUUCAUCUCUAUGUUUUCCUAGUGUAGAAGGAAAUAAUGUUGAUUAAUUUUGUUAUGUGUAUUUCUCUUUAUGUUGUGUCACGGUUGUGUUUGUUGUAAGCUGUUAUGGUAUUAUAUUAGUUGUCUGUUGUGCUAUUAUAUUAGUUGUUGGUUGGUUAGACAGUUAUAACUUGCUGUUGCAAGUUGCAAAGUUUGUUAUUAAGACCUGUAUUUCUGUAAUUCUGAUCAUUCAGUAAAGUUCUUUCAGCAAAAACGUUUCCCUCUUCUCUCUUUUCUCGUGUUUUCUUUCUGUUAGCGCCUUGAAGCUCUUGCUUCACCUAGAGUAUCCUGAAGAAUGUGCACUGUGACGAAACCUAUUAGGAAUCUGGAUCGAGCACAAUCAAACAUAGAAAUCAAGAGAAAAAUAGGAACACUGAAUUUUUAACGUGGUUGGGCAAUUGCCUACAUCCACGAUUCAACAUUAAUGCGAUAAUCCAUUAAACAUAGUUUUGGAGAGGAAAGCUACAAGAUCCAUAAAGUAGUUUUUGGUUUGAGAUAACUAAAAAUUGUAGAAUAGCCCUGGUUUAUGGCAAAUUGAAAUAUCCAUCAUAAUCCCAACAAAUCUAGGUAAUUGUCUGUGAAACACCUGGAACACAUCCUCUCGAUAACUGGUUAGUAAAAUUUUGAAAACACAAAUAUUCUAGAGGGAUGAUCUAAUUAAUAAUUGAACCAGGGAUAUUUAUCUAUAGGCUACAAUUCUAAUUAGACUAGGCCUCGAAUAGCUCUCCUACUCAAAAUUAGAGCUUACAUUAUAGACUUUAUAUUUAUCAAAACAUAAUUUGAGGAGUUAUCCCAACAAUUAUCUUCUCAACAAAAAAUUCUGAAAACUCUCAAUGUGCAUUUUGAAUUCCUUAUUGGUAUGAAUCUGUUGGUUUAUUUUGCUGAUGUCCGGUGUCUCAAGCACGCCAAAAUAGUACAAUCCUCCCCUUUCCUCAACACAUCCAAUCAUCAUUCUCGAGGCCUGAUCCUGAAAUAAUCAGUUUGUUGGGGGGGGGGGGGGGGGGGAAUGUAACUUUGCAAUUCAGGUCUUGAGAAAUCUUGGUGAUAGAUACCAAGUUUGUAGACAGUUUGGGAACAUGAAGGACAUUUUUAAGGGUGAGAUUUGGACCGAGUCUUAUAUCUCCUAUUCUAGCUAUAGUGGUCAGAGAGCCAUUUGUAGUAGCUAUUUUCCUAAUUACUAAGACAAGGAGUAUAAGUGUUGAAAUUAUAAGAGGCAUGGGUCAUGAUAUGUGGUUCUGGAGUUAAUAAUCCAUGAAUGUCUAAACAAUUUUUCUGAGGCAGUUAAACAGAGUGAGAGGUGGGAGAUAUACCUGAAUGUACCAAUGAACAAGUACCUGAUGGUUUCUUAAGGGCUGCCAAAAAAUUCCUCAACUUCUCAACCUCCUCUUUAUUGAGAUUUGUUUUGAGUCCAAACCUUUCUCCGCUUCUUGCUGUGCGAUCACCUGGUAUGCUUGCCCUUUGUAAGGCUUAUUCUGUCCUCCUUUGGUUCCCCACUCUUUACUGGGUGGUUUUGCAUUCAAUUUCCAGCAUUUCUUCAGGGUAUGCCUCGAUUUGUUACAAUAGGUACACCAUAGUGUCCCCAUCUUCCCCACUUGCUGUUUUAGAUUCAGCCUUCCAGUUUUCUCUUGGUCCUCAGGCUGUAGUUUUUGUCAGCAUUGUCGAUGUCUCCAGUGAUUUUGUCUCCAACAUCACUUCUCUUCUACUUUCUUCUACCAAAGAUAAUUAAAACUACUUCAUUGAGAUUGGGGAGAUCAUAUUUACCUAAGAUCUGGAUUCUUACAGGAUCAAAAUCUGCAUUUAGUCCUGCUAAAAAAUUAUAUGUGCAAUCCUUUUCGAUGAAUGCCGUCAGCAAUGCAGCAUCCUUACUAUCCUUCAUCUUUAUCGCCCGAUAUUGAUCCAUUUCCUGCCACAGCCCCUUCAGCAGGUUUACAUAUUCAGGGAGUCUUUUCUCCUUGCUUUGUUGACAUAGUUUUGAUCCGCAACUCAUAGACUUGGGCUGCAUCCUUGACUUUUGGAAUAAGUUUGUCGGAUGGACUCCCAGACCUCCCUUGCAGUCGGUAGGAACAUACACGUGUCACUUAUUUCUGGUGGCAUAGAACUCCAGAGCCAAGCCAUAAUCAUCGAAUCCUGCUCAUCCCAUGAGAUAAAACUGGGAUCUCCUUCCUCGGGACCAGUUCCAAUUAUAUGGUUGAGUUUGCCUUUGCCCUUUAAAAUGGUUUUGAUCAACUGUGACCAUUUUAGAUGGUUCUUCCCAGUGAGCCAGUAUGCAGCACUGAUUUGCUGCAGUUCAUCGGAGACUGGGUUUGCCGGUACUCCUCCGAUGCAGUGAGAGAGAACUUUGGCAGAGGUUGUUGACGUCCUUCUGGGCUGCUAAAAAAUUUAGGGCAACUAGUGCUAGGGGUGAUAAGUCUGAAAAACUGAACAAAAAUGAAAGGCUGGAGAUUAGGAGGAUAAAUGGCAAUGAAGGCCGCCCACAGAGAGUUCCCUAAAGCUCUGAUACUAUGUUAGAAAUUAGGGAGAAGGCUUGAUGACUUUAUUCAUUCUGUCCAGAAUUUUAUAUAUAUAGAAACUUAGCUAAUCUAUCAUAGGAAACUCUCAAUUUAGGAAUUUCCUCUAAUGGAGACAAUCUCUAAUUGAUUUACAGAACCUACCAAAUCUGUACACCUAACCUUCUAAUUAUGUAUUAGGAAAUAAUUCAAAAAAGAUGGCUUGAUUGACAGCCCUUAAAAUCUUCCAUCACUCUUUAUGAUCUCCACCAAGUUGUUUCCCCUAUAUUGCUUUAGCAUAUUGAAUUUCUUUUAGGGGCCCAAAUCAACUCUUUAAUGUCCUAUUUUUCAUGCAAAACUACUGGUGUUAAAUUCUUCAUGCAAGUACGUGAGGAGAUCUUAAACUGAUACAAUCUUUAGAGUGUGGGAUAUAUAAACUUUUUCUUAUGUUGGUAAAGUCAGGUUUAUGUAUAAUAUUUUGCUUUUUUGCUUACAACUUCCCGAUCAUGCAACAAAACCACAUUUGUGGCCCUGCAGGCAGUUAUUAAUAUUCCUUCUAACUGGGAU